UACGUAGGGGGCAAGCGUUGUCCGGAUUUAUUGGGCGUAAAGAGCUCGUAGGCGGUUCGUCGCGUCGGCUGUGAAAACCCGGAGCUCAACUCCGGGCCUGCAGUCGAUACGGGCGGACUUGAGUGUUGCAGGGGAGACUGGAAUUCCUGGUGUAGCGGUGAAAUGCGCAGAUAUCAGGAGGAACACCGGUGGCGAAGGCGGGUCUCUGGGCAACUACUGACGCUGAGGAGCGAAAGCGUGGGGAGCGAACAGG
rnacentral:rRNA from 1 species